GAGGGUAUAGGUCAGUGGUAGAGCACAUGCUUAGCAUGCACAAGGUCCUGGGUUCAAUCUCCAGUACCUCUG
rnacentral:tRNA from 1 species